rnacentral:rRNA from 1 species
AUGAACUCCUCCUCGGCCCCGGGACCGGACGGUCUCCCAGUAGCUUUCUUCAAGGCGUUCUGGCCUACCAUCAAACCCGAGGUCAUGGCUCUCUUUGAGGAAUUCUACUCGGGUUCCAUGGAUUUGGGGCGCCUCAACUAUGGGGUGGUGACCCUCAUCCCCAAGGUCCCGGGCGCCUCCGUUAUUCGCCAGUUCCGCCCCAUCACAGUGAUUAAUGUGAUUUUUAGGAUCCUGGCGAAGGGGUACGCCAAUAGGGUGACCCUCCUUGCGGCCACAAUCACCCACCCGAACCAAUCCGCCUUCAUUCGAGGCCGAUUUAUCCUUGAUGGGGUGUUGGUGUUCCACGAAGUGCUCCACGAGGUCCGUCUGAAGCGCCAUAGGGCGGUCUUCCUUAAGUUGGACUUCCACAAAGCCUAUGACACGGUGCACUGGCCGUUCCUGAGGGAAGUCUUGCUUCGCAAGGGCUUUGACGACCGUUGGGUGACCCGCGUCAUGUAG